AGCGAACGCUGGCGGCAGGCCUAACACAUGCAAGUCGAACGAACCUUUCGGGGUUAGUGGCGGACGGGUGAGUAACACGUGGGAACGUGCCUUUAGGUUCGGAAUACCUCAGGGAAACUUGUGCUAAUACCGAAUGUGCCCUUCUGGGGAAAGAUUAAUCGCCUUUAGAGCGGCCCGCGUCUGAUUAGCUAGUUGGUUGAGGUAAUGGCUCACCAAGGCGACGAUCAGUAGCUGGUCUGAGAGGAUGAUCAGCCACAUUGGGACUGAGACACGGCCCAAACUCCUACGGGAGGCAGCAGUGGGGAAUCUUGCGCAAUGGGCGAAAGCCUGACGCAGCCAUGCCGCGUGAAUGAUGAAGGUAUUAGGAUUGUAAAAUUCUUUCACCGGGGACGAUAAUGACGGUACCCGGAGAAGAAGCCCCGGCUAACUUCGUG
rnacentral:rRNA from 1 species